rnacentral:rRNA from 1 species
UACAGAGGUCUCAAGCGUUGUUCGGAUUCAUUGGGCGUAAAGGGUGCGUAGGUGGCGCGGUAAGUCGGGUGUGAAAUUUCGGGAGCUUAAACUCCGAAACUGCAUUCGAUACUGCGGUGCUUGAGGACUGGAGAGGAGACUGGGAAUUCAUGGUGUAGCAGUGAAAUGCGUAGAGAUCAUGAGGAAGACCAGUGGCGAAGGCGGGUCUCUGGACAGUUCCUGACAUGAGCACGAAGGCCAGGGGAGCAAACGGG